UGCCUAAUCCGGUUACUGACUUGUACACGAGAGGAUAACUGAUCAUACAGGUACAACAGAAAGGACCCUGGUACAAAAAGAAGAAGUUGUCCCAAAGACCCACAUCAAUGCUGGGAAGAUCCUGAAUGUACCAAGGUCCAUGCAACUUGAAGAGCCUGGUUAACACACUGCAGCUGGUGCCCUUUGCUGAAGGAUAUCUCCUAUGUUCCUCUGUGGCAGAAGCAGAAUCAAAACAUUUCAUUUUAUGGAAGCAAUUAGACACACAUCUGUUCCAGAACUUACAUAUUAAAUGUUUGUCCGUAUAGACCACGUGAAUUUCAAAACAUCUGUAGGCAACAAGGGAGGUUUUAAGUCAUACUGAUGUACAAGAACAUGUUGUGGGAUUUGGUCCUCUUUCACUUUGGUUCAAUGGAAACACAACUUUGAUUCCCUGGGUAGUUAAAAACCUAUGGUUACCUCUGCUAAAACCAACCUAGGAAGGAUUAUAAUAACUUUAGCUUUUUAUAUUUAUUUAACAUGUGGUUUCAAAAUGUCUUUUCACUUCUAUAUCCCUAGCAUUGAAUGUAGUGUCUAUUCAAUAAAUAAUUGUGGAAUGAUUAAAAGAAUAUAUAUGUGACAAUAGGAAAAACAAAAUUGUUGAGAUUCUAAUAUGUGUGAAUAUAUAGACUUCAUUUGAGGAUGAAACCUGAUUUUAUCCCAUAUAUUAAUAAUUAGAAUGAUAAAAUUAGUAAAAUAAAAUCAAAUAUUUUUAAACAAACAUACACAUGCAAAUAAAUAAGUCACAUACAUGC
rnacentral:lncRNA from 12 species